rnacentral:rRNA from 1 species
CCUACGGGAGGCAGCAGUGGGGAAUCUUGCGCAAUGCGCGAAAGCGUGACGCAGCAACGCCGCGUGAGGGAAGACGGCCUUCGGGUUGUAAACCGCUUUCAGGAGGGACGAAGGUUCACCGGUGAAUAGCCGUGUGGAUUGACGGUACCUCCAGAAGAAGCUCCGGCUAACUACGUGCCAGCAGCCGCGGUAAUACGUAGGGAGCAAGCGUUGUCCGGAAUCAUUGGGCGUAAAGCGCGCGUAGGCGGCCUCAUAAGUCCGUUGUGAAAGUCAAAGGCUCAACCUUUGAAAGCCGAUGGAUACUGUGAGGCUAGAGUCCGGAAGAGGCGAGUGGAAUUCCUGGUGUAGCGGUGGAAUGCGCAGAUAUCAGGAGGAACACCAAUAGCGAAGGCAGCUCGCUGGGACGGUACCGACGCUAAGGCGCGAAAGCGUGGGGAGCGAACAGGAUUAGAUACCCUGGUAGUCCACACCGUAAACGUUGGGCGCUAGGUGUGGGACCUAUUCCAUGGGUUCCGUGCCGUAGCUAACGCAUUAAGCGCCCCGCCUGGGGAGUACGGCCGCAAGGCUAAAACUCAAAAGGAAUUGACGGGGGCCCGCACAAGCGGCGGAGCAUGCGGAUUAAUUCGAUGCAACGCGAAGAACCUUACCUGGGUUUGACAUACACCGGAAGCCUUUAGAGAUAGAGGUCUCUUUGAUACCGGGUGUACAGGUGGUGCAUGGCUGUCGUCAGCUCGUGUCGUGAGAUGUUUGGGUUAAAGUCCCCGCAACGAGCGCAACCCUCGUUUCAUGUUGCCAGCAG